rnacentral:lncRNA from 1 species
AUGAAGACAAAGCCAUUUUCAAACAUUCGAUUGGCGAAAUCUGCACGCUUAGCUAACACUUUCAUUUUCAGAGCUGCCGGUGGCUGUAUGCAGGUCCAGAAAAUCGACUGUGUUUCCUGGUGGAUUCCACCCAGGGAAGAGAGCCCUGGGAAUGCCCAGACACGUUUGUUGGAAGGAAUGGAUGAGUGGCUAACAGGCGAGCCCCCAGGAUGCAAACGCAUUUACCAAUUCACUGGCAGAAACCUUAGCUGCCUCUUCUGGAAGCCACCAUUCGGCCCAGCCGGGACAGAAAAAGAGCCACUCUCCAUUGUACUGGUCAGGAGGUGUGCAAAUGCAGUUGUGCAGAUGCUUACCGCUGCUGUAAUCCAGCAUGUCCACACCGUAACCAUCAGACCUGGCUGGGUUGGGGCCCUGUCAGAGAGACAGGGAAGCGUCAGAUAGGGAAGGCUGGGAAGAAGGAUGCAGCGGGAGGCCCCCCACAGCCGAGGCUGAAAGGCAUCAUGGACGCUUUGGGCUACCACUUCCAAUGUUUUGCCUAAUGUUUAGGGUAUUCAUGGGGUUUGUGCAAGUGUGUCCACAGGCCCCUGUAGCCAGAACAUGGGACUAGGCUUUCUGAAGACCGUGCAUUCCGGCGCUGACUUUUCCUAUCAAUGGGAGAGACGUGGGCUAUUGACCUAGCGGCCUUCUCUUCUCCAUCUAUUGUCGCGGCUCAAUCACGCACUUACCAGAAGAAAAGCGAGUUUAUCUUAGCCUGGAGGAGCCUCAGGUUGCGUGUGUGUGACUAAAGGGUGGGGGAAGUUCUGCAGCCACGACUCUGCAGAUGGGUUGAGGAUAGACACUUUCAGAAAAGGGCCAAUUUCCCCUUCACAAUGAGCGCUAAGUACGUGAUAAAUGGGGCUGGUGUUUAUUCAUGAGCAGGUACUUGGGAGAUGGCGAUUAGAACGGCCGCCCGCGCCGCCUCGCCAAGGUACUUAAAGCCGGGCAGGUGCAGCGCUGCGCGCAGCCCGAGCGCACAAAGCCCGCGGCCACAGCGGCGUGGGGAGGGGCGUGAGUGCGGGCCGCGCGGGGCCCUGAGGGCGCGCGGCGCGCAGGCACCUUAGCCCUUUGUUCCUCCACCGAAGCCAAGGCCACUUCACCGAGGGGCGUCCCGGAAAACCUCCCCUCUAAUUACAAAGAAUUCCGCUUCGUCCCUCCUCCCAGAGUCCAGCCGGGCAACUCAUGGCCCGGAGGACGCGGGGACUCAGCGUGAGACCAGGCUGGGCAUUUGCGUAAAUGCCGCCUGUAAGCUGGCUCUUAGCUACCCAACUAAGUAACGCAACAACUAGGAAAGCAGCAGAACCCGGGCCUGGGAACAGCGCGGGCACGCGGCUCUAGCCGCCCCCGCCGCCGAGGCGCCACCUCUGGCCGUGCGGGUAACCUCGGGCUUUCAGGUUUUGUUUCA